GGACAGAAGCUCGCUGGAUAGGGUGUUUAGCUGUUAACUAAAAGUUUACGGGAUCGAGGCCCGUCUGUCUAG
rnacentral:tRNA from 1 species